rnacentral:rRNA from 1 species
GGACGAACGCUGGCGGCGUGCCUAACACAUGCAAGUCGAGCGAGGAGAGUUCCUCGGGAUGAUCCUAGCGGCGGACGGGUGAGUAACACGUGGGCAACCUGCCUCAUAGAGAGGAAUAGCCUUCCGAAAGGGAGAUUAAUACCUCAUAACAUUGCAGUUUCGCAUGGAACAGCAAUUAAAGGAGUAAUCCGCUAUGAGAUGGGCCCGCGGCGCAUUAGCUAGUUGGUGAGGUAACGGCUCACCAAGGCGACGAUGCGUAGCCGACCUGAGAGGGUGAUCGGCCACAUUGGGACUGAGACACGGCCCAGACUCCUACGGGAGGCAGCAGUGGGGAAUAUUGCACAAUGGGGGAAACCCUGAUGCAAGCAACGCCGCGUGAGUGAUGACGGCCUUCGGGUUGUAAAGCUCUGUCUUCAGGGACGAUAAUGACGGUACCUGAGGAGGAAGCCACGGCUAACUACGUGCCAGCCGCAGC